rnacentral:rRNA from 1 species
UUGACCUCGGAUCAGGUGAGGAUACCCGCUGAAUUUAAGCAUAUUAAUAAGCGGAGGAAAAGAAACCAACAGGGAUUG